UGAACCUAGGCUGUGCUGACACGGGUGGACAUUUUUCUGUCUGGCUGCUGGGGGUUGGGUGAAACCCAGGUCUUCCGUUACUAAGGUAACCCAAGGAGGUUAAGAUCCUCCCUUCAGGAGUGAAGGACUCUGGAGUUCAGGGAGUUUACAUCCCGCCCAGCUCACCUCAAGCUACACAGCAGCAGACCUCAGUUGAAGGCUCCAUGAUCUCAAUGGAAAUGUAGCUUUCCAAGACGAAAUGAAAUCUAUGAAACGCCACCAGCGGCAGUCACAGCUGGCUCCAUCUUACGUACUAGCAGCCCACACGCACCCAGAGACAUCUGGAAGACGUCACAUCUACCUAACAUGUGGGCCCUCUAAUUAAAGAGAUUCACCACAUGGGCCAGGAAUCGAAGAGCUCCAGGUCUAUCUCAG
rnacentral:lncRNA from 1 species